GCACUGCUGAGGAGUCCCGCGAUAGGACGAAACGGCCGUCCAAUGC
rnacentral:hammerhead_ribozyme from 1 species